GAGAAUACAACUUUUAUAUUUAUUAAUAUUGAUGACAAUAUUGGCAUUACAACUAAAAAGUCCAUAACUAUUUUGAAGCAAAGAUGGACAAAAGCUUUUGCUUUUAACUCAACAACAAACAAAAGAACAAUAUAAGUAUGAUUCGACGCGAACUUGUUUAAUUACUAGGAAUAACAAGUUUCACAAAAGAAUAACGACUAAUUAAAAGUAAUUAACCGCUUUAUAUGGAGCGCUUCCAAGAGUAAAUAGAAGAACAUUGCUACCCCUUGCUUAAUUAUUGUGUGCAAGAUGAUUGAAACUUUGUUGAUCAAUGAAGGCCACCACCAAUGCCACCACCUCCACCACCACCAAAGCUUCCGCCGCCACCAGCUCCACCUCCAAUACCAACACCAGCACCGACUCCAAAUCCUCCACCUGCUCCAAAACCUCCUCCUACACCUCCACCACCACCAACACCACCUCCAGCACCUCCACCUGCACCAAAACCACCUCCUACACCGCCACCUCCACCAAUGCCACCACCCCCUCCCGCUCCACCACCAACACCUCCUCCAAUGCCUCCACCAGCACCUCCUCCGGCUCCUCCUCCCCCUCCAGCUCCUCCUCCAAUGCCUCCACCAGCACCUCCUCCGGCUCCUCCUCCCCCUCCAGCUCCUCCUCCAAUGCCUCCACCAGCACCUCCUCCGGCUCCUCCUCCAAUGCCUCCACCCCCUCCAGCUCCUCCUCCAAUACCUCCACCAGCACCUCCUCCUAUACCACCACCAGUUCCACCACCAACACCUCCACCAAUUCCACCACCCCCUCCGACUCCUCCUCCAACACCUCCACCUGCACCU
rnacentral:misc_RNA from 1 species